rnacentral:snRNA from 1 species
UGUGAGGGUGACCUGACUGCUGCAUCUGUUACCCCAUGGACCUGGACCGGCAGAGUGAGUCAGCUGAUCUGGCUGCUACGUGGCUGUCCCCUUCCUCCCUCACUAC